AACGAACGCUGGCGGCGUGCCUAACACAUGCAAGUCGAGCGAGAAAGCCCGCAAGGGUGAGUAAAGCGGCGCACGGGUGCGUAACACGUGGGUAAUCUGCCCUGAGGUCCGGAAUAACUCGCCGAAAGGCGUGCUAAUGCCGGAUGAGACCACGGGAGCCUCGGCUCCUGCGGGAAAAGGUGGCCUCUGUAUACAAGCUAUCGCUUCAGGAUGAGCCCGCGGCCCAUCAGCUAGUUGGCGGGGUAAUGGCCCACCAAGGCUACGACGGGUAGCUGGUCUGAGAGGAUGAUCAGCCACACUGGAACUGAGACACGGUCCAGACUCCUACGGGAGGCAGCAGUGGGGAAUAUUGGUCAAUGGGCGAAAGCCUGAACCAGCAAUGCCGCGUGAGUGAUGAAGGCCUUCGGGUUGUAAAGCUCUGUCGGGAGGGACGAAAAAGCGGAUUAACAAACCGCAUUGACGGUACCUCCGAAGGAAGCACCGGCUAACUCUGUGCCAGCAGCCGCAGUAACAC
rnacentral:rRNA from 1 species